rnacentral:rRNA from 1 species
UCGCGGCCUAUCAGCUUGUUGGUGAGGUAAUGGCUCACCAAGGCGACGACGGGUAGCCGGCCUGAGAGGGUGACCGGCCACACUGGGACUGAGACACGGCCCAGACUCCUACGGGAGGCAGCAGUGGGGAAUAUUGCACAAUGGGCGCAAGCCUGAUGCAGCAACGCCGCGUGAGGGACGACGGCCUUCGGGUUGUAAACCUCUUUUAGUAGGGAAGAAGCGAAAGUGACGGUACCUGCAGAAAAAGCACCGGCUAACUACGUGCCAGCAGCCGCGGUAAUACGUAGGGUGCAAGCGUUGUCCGGAAUUAUUGGGCGUAAAGAGCUCGUAGGCGGUUUGUCGCGUCUGCUGUGAAAACCCGAGGCUCAACCUCGGGCCUGCAGUGGGUACGGGCAGACUAGAGUGCGGUAGGGGAGAUUGGAAUUCCUGGUGUAGCGGUGGAAUGCGCAGAUAUCAGGAGGAACACCGAUGGCGAAGGCAGAUCUCUGGGCCGUAACUGACGCUGAGGAGCGAAAGCAUGGGGAGCGAACAGGAUUAGAUACCCUGGUAGUCCAUGCCGUAAACGUUGGGAACUAGAUGUGGGGACCAUUCCACGGUCUCCGUGUCGCAGCUAACGCAUUAAGUUCCCCGCCUGGGGAGUACGG